rnacentral:rRNA from 1 species
UACGUAGGGUGCGAGCGUUGUCCGGAUUUAUUGGGCGUAAAGGGCUCGUAGGCGGCCUGUCGCGUCGGGAGUGAAAGCCCACUGCUUAACGGUGGGUCUGCUUCCGGUACGGGCGGGCUGGAGUAUGGCAGGGGAGACUGGAAUUCCUGGUGUAGCGGUGGAAUGCGCAGAUAUCAGGAAGAACACCCGUGGCGAAGGCGGCUCUCUGGGACGGUACUGACGCUGAGACGCGAAAGCGUGGGGAGCGAACAGG